rnacentral:rRNA from 1 species
UGCCAGCAGCCGCGGUAAUACAGAGGUGGCAAGCGUUGUUCGGAAUUACUGGGCGUAAAGGGCGCGUAGGCGGCCAUCUAAGUCAGACGUGAAAUCCCCCGGCUUAACCUGGGAACUGCGUCUGAUACUGGAAGGCUUGAGUAUGGGAGAGGGAUGUAGAAUUCCAGGUGUAGCGGUGAAAUGCGUAGAUAUCUGGAGGAAUACCGGUGGCGAAGGCGGCAUCCUGGACCAUUACUGACGCUGAGGCGCGAAAGCUAGGGGAGCAAACGGGAUUAGAUA